UACGGAGGGUGCAAGCGUUAUCCGGAUUCACUGGGUUUAAAGGGUGCGUAGGUGGGAUGGUAAGUCAGUGGUGAAAUCUCCGGGCUUAACCCGGAAACUGCCGUUGAUACUAUCAUUCUUGAAUAUUGUGGAGGUAAGCGGAAUAUGUCAUGUAGCGGUGAAAUGCUUAGAUAUGACAUAGAACACCGAUAGCGAAGGCAGCUUGCUACACAAUUAUUGACACUGAGGCACGAAAGCGUUGGGAUCAAACAGG
rnacentral:rRNA from 1 species